GGGGCACGCGAGGGCUGUCGCUGACUCAAAGUCGUGCACGCCCGAGUGUGUCGCCUCACAUAAUAAUCCAUCUCACCCUUUGUGCAUCACCGCGUGGGCACCCCUUUGGGAUCAUCUCGGAGGGGGCUCGCGUUUUCACACAAAACCCCCCUUUUAAAAGUGUAGAAUGACCUCGUUUAUGCGCUAACCCGCAAUCAAUACAACUUUCAACAACGGAUCUCUUGGCUCUCGCAUCGAUGAAGAACGCAGCGAAAUGCGAUACGUAAUGUGAAUUGCAGAAUUCAGUGAAUCAUCGAAUCUUUGAACGCACCUUGCGCCCCCUGGUAUUCCGAGGGGCACACCCGUUUGAGUGUCGUGAAAACCUCAACCUCCUUGGUUUCUUCUGGAGACCAAAGCAGGCUUGGACUUUGGAGGCCUUUGCUGGCACCUCUCGCCAGCUCCUCUUAAAUGAAUUAGCAGGGUCCUCUUUGCUGAUCCUCGACGUGUGAUAAGAUGUUUCCAUGUCUUGGNUUCUGGCUCUGUCACCUUUGGGACCCGCUUCUAACCGUCUUCAACCUUGCGUUGAGACAACGUUCGAGCAUGUCUCCCUUCUCGGGAAGCUCCCUCGACCCCACGANCCUGA
rnacentral:rRNA from 1 species